GACGAACCGUGCGAACGUUGUUCGGAUUCACUGGGCUUAAAGGGCGCGUAGGCGGACGGUCAAGUCAGGGGUGAAAUCUUUCAGCUCAACUGGAAAAGUGCCUCUGAUACUGAUCGUCUCGAGGGAGGUAGGGGCAUGUGGAACUUCCGGUGGAGCGGUGAAAUGCGUAGAUAUCGGAAGGAACGCCGGUGGCGAAAGCGACGUGCUGGACCUCUUCUGACGCUGAGGCGCGAAAGCUAGGGGAGCAAACAGG
rnacentral:rRNA from 1 species